rnacentral:misc_RNA from 1 species
GAAAUGCGAUAAGUAGUGUGAAUUGCAGAAUUCAGUGAAUCAUCGAAUCUUUGAACGCACAUUGCGCCCCUUGGUAUUCCAUGGGGCAUGCCUGUUCGAGCGGCAUUUGUACCCUCAAGCUCUGCUUGGUGUUGGGUGUUUGUCCCGUCUCCGCGCGUGGACUCGCCCCAAAGUGAUUGGCAGCCGGCGUACUGGUCCCGGAGCGCAGCACAUGUCGCGCAAACGAGUGCCUUGGUACGGCGGCGUCCAUAAGCCCCUCUCUCACGCUCUUGACCUCGGAUCAGGUAGGGAUACCCGCUGAACUUAAGC